GAUGAACGCUGGCGGCGUGCCUAAUACAUGCAAGUCGAGCGAACAGACGAGGAGCUUGCUCCUUUGACGUUAGCGGCGGACGGGUGAGUAACACGUGGGUAACCUACCUAUAAGACUGGGAUAACUUCGGGAAACCGGAGCUAAUACCGGAUAAUAUUUCGAACCGCAUGGUUCGAUAGUGAAAGAUGGCUCUGCUAUCACUUAUAGAUGGACCUGCGCCGUAUUAGCUAGUUGGUAAGGUAACGGCUUACCAAGGCAACGAUACGUAGCCGACCUGAGAGGGUGAUCAGCCACACUGGAACUGAGACACGGUCCAGACUCCUACGGGAGGCAGCAGUAGGGAAUCUUCCGCAAUGGGCGAAAGCCUGACGGAGCAACGCCGCGUGAGUGAUGAAGGUCUUCGGAUCGUAAAACUCUGUUAUUAGGGAAGAACAAACGUGUAAGUAACUGUGCACGUCUUGACGGUACCUAAUCAGAAAGCCACGGCUAACUACGUG
rnacentral:rRNA from 1 species